GCCUCGGCGGUGUAGUGGCAGUAGCACACGUCUCCAGUGUGGAUGAGACGCGAGUUCGAUUCCCGUCUGAGGUC